UACAGAGGUCUCAAGCGUUGUUCGGAUUCAUUGGGCGUAAAGGGUGCGUAGGUGGCGCCGUAAGUCAGGUGUGAAAUUUCGGAGCUUAACUCCGAAACUGCAUUCGAUACUGCGGCGCUUGAGGACUGGAGAGGAGACUGGAAUUCAUGGUGUAGCAGUGAAAUGCGUAGAGAUCAUGAGGAAGACCAGUGGCGAAGGCGGGUCUCUGGACAGUUCCUGACACUGAGGCACGAAGGCCAGGGGAGCAAACGGG
rnacentral:rRNA from 1 species